AUGCUUUGGGGUAAAGAAUUUCGUGAGACAUACAUGCAAAACCACCACCUAGAGAAUCAGAAGUGGAGGCCAGAUCCGCAGGCCAGUUGGUCCUUGACAAUACCCCACGGGAACAGUCACGGGGAACCGCCGAGGGCAACAUUCUUCGGAAGCCGAGAAACCCUCGUCUCGUACAAGCUCCAAACAGGAGCCCCGGAAGCCGCCACCACCGGAAGCCGCCGCCACCUCUCACCCGCUCCCCUGCCGCGCCCUGCGCUCCGGGCCCCCCCACUCCGCGCUCCGCACGGGGCAGCCCCCCGGGGAGCACAGCACCGCCCGUCCACGCCCCCUCCCACGUACCGCACCCUGCGGCUCUCCCUUCUUGGCACUGUCCACAGGCUGUAA
rnacentral:lncRNA from 12 species